GACGAACGCUGGCGGCGUGCUUAACACAUGCAAAUCGAACGGAAAGGCCCUGCUUUUGUGGGGUGCUCGAGUGGCGAACGGGUGAGUAACACGUGAGUAACCUGCCCUUGACUUUGGGAUAACUUCAGGAAACUGGGGCUAAUACCGGAUAGGAGCUCCUGCUGCAUGGUGGGGGUUGGAAAGUUUCGGCGGUUGGGGAUGGACUCGCGGCUUAUCAGCUUGUUGGUGGGGUAGUGGCUUACCAAGGCUUUGACGGGUAGCCGGCCUGAGAGGGUGACCGGCCACAUUGGGACUGAGAUACGGCCCAGACUCCUACGGGAGGCAGCAGUGGGGAAUAUUGCACAAUGGGCGGAAGCCUGACGCAGCAACGCCGCGUGCGGGAUGACGGCCUUCGGGUUGUAAACCGCUUUCGCCUGUGACGAAGCGUGAGUGACGGUAAUGGGUAAAGAAGCACCGGCUAACUACGUG
rnacentral:rRNA from 1 species